AGUGAAUGAAGAGGGAGAGAAAUAUGGAAAUUGGCAGUGGAUGUGAUUCAUCAGCACCGGAGACUGAUGUCUGCCGAAGAAACGACAUGACAGAAAUAACACGACGCUAAGAAGAAAGAAGGACAUAUACAGAGGAGACCUGCCCUACUCAAUACUCACCUCCAAUCAAUAUUCUCCCUCUGUUCCCGUCCAUCUGAUUGAAAGGGAUGAAGCGGUUUCAUGUGAUUGCAUCAGUUAAUCAGUAUAACCACCAUCAACCUCUCAUCUCCCAUCGUAGCGUCCACCUGUCAAUCCAUUCCUCUCUUAAAUUUACAUCUCCUUAACUUCACCUCUUUGCUUUGUCUUUACCAUACCUGUCUUUGUCUAUCUACUUGUCAGUCAGUCUUCCUUGGUUCCCUACAACCAUUUUUUAUCCUCUUUUCUCCUUCCUUUUUGCAUUGACACUGACUUUACACUCCACAAUAUAGGAAACAAGCCAUACAAAGACACUCAUUUGAUGGACGGGCUUGUCAGACUUGUCAAAAUUAAAUCUUUUCAACGUCAACUAGAGUCUUAAAUCUUGGCUUGAGAAAGGUGUGUGAUGACAUAAAGUAUGUUUCAACCUUCACCUUUCACUACACUUGAGCUGUGCUUCAAUAGUGGUUUAUGAUGGUUGACUUCCUCUCUGCACUUUCCCUCAGGGGGGAAUCCCCGCCGCCAUUAUAGGUGUUGUUCAAUUUGUCUGAAAAACUAGAGUGAACUUGGUGAGAUCAAGAUCAUGAGUGAGUCAACAACAACGGUCACACCAGAGGUUUAUGUCACCCAUAAUGCACUGCCGUUAUGCAUUAAGUGCAAGAAAAUACAUCCAUGGUUAGGUGAUGGUUACGUACGUCAAACUCCUUUUGCUUACAGCCAAAGAAGGAGAAGAUUAAUAAAUUGAGCAAGGGUCUGAGGAGGAGACAGAACUCCUUAUAAGGAUGAUGUGACUGCAGGGGAGGCUGACAGGAGCACACGCAGCCAAGAAAUGGGAGAAAUACAAGGUCAUUGGCUUAAAUUAGUCCAAAAGCCUUUUGUUUUGGCAAAAGUAAGCAAAAUAUUGACAAAACAAAUGUAGUCAUAUUUUAAAAAGGAAAAUAAAACCUGAGCUGCCACCCCUACAAGAGCAGAGACCGAUCACGGAGAGAUAACAGCAGCCUGAUGGCAGUGGUUUUCCCUGAUGCAUGAGGCAAUUGGGUCACAGCCAUCGAUUAGUCCUCCAGUCCUGAUUGCCUCAUGCACAGGAGGGUAUCGGCCAUCAUCCAGCACAGCCACUAGUUGGAAAGAAACCCCAUCUCCUCCACCACAAGACGCCUUUAGUGGAGGUAAAAUUACAAGGAGGAGAGAGAGAUGUGGCCAGAUUCGGGUGCCUGGAGGCACAAACUGAAUUUUCGAGAGAAUGGUUGAAAAGAUGUAAAUGUUAAAUGUGUAAAUGUUUUUGUUAUAGCUACUGUUUUUUUUUAAUAAGAUUGUCUCAGGUAGAGAUGUAUUUUUGUUACUUAUUGUUUAUCAUAUUUAUUCCUGGUGAGUUUCAGUGAAUUUAAAUAGAAUCAUAAAGAGUGUUUUCAUUUUUUUUCCUCUUUAAUUUAAACAUUUAAACAUAAAUUUCAUGUAAGCCAUCUUCAGAAACGAAUGUGUGAACUACAUAUUUGUGUGGUAUUUACAUUUUUGUGCACUAUUAUUUUUAAUGUGACUUAUAAAUAGUCGUAGUCCAGCAGCUGAUGGAUAGGUGCAGAGAUGCAGCCUGAAAGCUUAUUUCUCAUUGCUGCACCACUGACAUCAACAGCAAGUGGGGCUUCCUGCACAGGCUCUUCAAUGUCUCCAAUUCCUGAGUAGAUGUUGCGGAGUGCAGCCCAGCGGGUAAUAAUGGCAGGGACAAAUGUAGGGUUGACCUCCAGGGCCUUGAAGACGAUGCUAAGCCUCCUUGCUUUCAUCCUUCCAAAGGCCAUCUCAAUGAUGGAGCGGGCUUUGGCAUGAUGGACACUGUAGUGCUUCUGGACCAUUAUAGUGGCUCCCUGUUGGGUGUCAAGAUGGAGAUAGGUUGCUCUAUGCGGGGAUAUCCACCAUCCCCUACAAGGAAACAACCCACAGGAGGAUACAAGUGAUUUGUGAAUAGAGGACUGUUUUUGAGCACUCUAGUGUCAUGCACUGAUCCUCGGUAGCCAGUAAAAGUGUCCAAAAACUGGCUUACACUGUCAAAAACAGCUUGGAGCCAGAUGUAAUGAAGCAGCUUUUUGUUUACGUAGUCACUAGAGGCAGGACCUGCAGGUGCCUUUAUUCUGAUGUGGCACCCAUCAGUAGCAACCACACAUUUUCUGAAUGACUCAUUCUGAGCCAGUGCAGCAAAGCUCCAGUUCUCCAAUUGUAUCCAGCUCACUUGGGAAAUGUGUCCUUUUUUCUCAGCGACCAAUAGCAUUGAAGAUGAUUGUUUUUGGGACAGCAAACGCACAGGACACCACACUAUAGGACGCCCCAUGUGCUGCGCACUGUUGGUGGACAUUGUAGCCACCCGGUGGUGGUUUUGUGUAUUGCUAUUUGGGUUUAAGUUUAGUCCUUUGAGCUCGCCACAAUUUUUUUAGUUUGUUCAGUAUUUGCUAGACAGCAGAUGAGAGAGCAUGGACAUGGACAUUUCUUUUUUUUUCUUGUAAUUUUGUGUUAUUUAGGUAGUUUGUGUAAAUGGUUGCCUUAUAAUUAAAAUUAGCCAAUUGUUAAAAUGCUGAAGCUAAGUAGCACUAAGCUAAUCAACCACAUACUGGUUUUUCUAGCUACAUGGGAUUUGUGCAGACAAUAUUUUGUUGAUAGCAGUUUGCUUUAUGUUUUUUUUUAAUUUCUGUUGCAUUAUGUUGUAAUUAUAUUUAACAAUAUGAUUGUAACACCCACAUUUUCUGUAUGUUCAGUUUUACAGCUUUACUCAGUCAGUAAGUCAGUAAACUGCCUUAACUUUA